UUUUAUGAGAGUUUGAUCCUGGCUCAGGACGAACGCUGGCGGCGUGCCUAAUACAUGCAAGUCGAACGCUUCUUUUUCCACCGGAGCUUGCUCCACCGGAAAAAGAGGAGUGGCGAACGGGUGAGUAACACGUGGGUAACCUGCCCAUCAGAAGGGGAUAACACUUGGAAACAGGUGCUAAUACCGUAUAACAAUCGAAACCGCAUGGUUUUGAUUUGAAAGGCGCUUUCGGGUGUCGCUGAUGGAUGGACCCGCGGUGCAUUAGCUAGUUGGUGAGGUAACGGCUCACCAAGGCCACGAUGCAUAGCCGACCUGAGAGGGUGAUCGGCCACAUUGGGACUGAGACACGGCCCAAACUCCUACGGGAGGCAGCAGUAGGGAAUCUUCGGCAAUGGACGAAAGUCUGACCGAGCAACGCCGCGUGAGUGAAGAAGGUUUUCGGAUCGUAAAACUCUGUUGUUAGAGAAGAACAAGGAUGAGAGUAACUGUUCAUCCCUUGACGGUAUCUAACCAGAAAGCCACGGCUAACUACGUGCCAGCAGCCGCGGUAAUACGUAGGUGGCAAGCGUUGUCCGGAUUUAUUGGGCGUAAAGCGAGCGCAGGCGGUUUCUUAAGUCUGAUGUGAAAGCCCCCGGCUCAACCGGGGAGGGUCAUUGGAAACUGGGAGACUUGAGUGCAGAAGAGGAGAGUGGAAUUCCAUGUGUAGCGGUGAAAUGCGUAGAUAUAUGGAGGAACACCAGUGGCGAAGGCGGCUCUCUGGUCUGUAACUGACGCUGAGGCUCGAAAGCGUGGGGAGCAAACAGGAUUAGAUACCCUGGUAGUCCACGCCGUAAACGAUGAGUGCUAAGUGUUGGAGGGUUUCCGCCCUUCAGUGCUGCAGCUAACGCAUUAAGCACUCCGCCUGGGGAGUACGACCGCAAGGUUGAAACUCAAAGGAAUUGACGGGGGCCCGCACAAGCGGUGGAGCAUGUGGUUUAAUUCGAAGCAACGCGAAGAACCUUACCAGGUCUUGACAUCCUUUGACCACUCUAGAGAUAGAGCUUCCCCUUCGGGGGCAAAGUGACAGGUGGUGCAUGGUUGUCGUCAGCUCGUGUCGUGAGAUGUUGGGUUAAGUCCCGCAACGAGCGCAACCCUUAUUGUUAGUUGCCAUCAUUCAGUUGGGCACUCUAGCAAGACUGCCGGUGACAAACCGGAGGAAGGUGGGGAUGACGUCAAAUCAUCAUGCCCCUUAUGACCUGGGCUACACAC
rnacentral:rRNA from 1 species